UACAGAGGUCUCAAGCGUUGUUCGGAUUCAUUGGGCGUAAAGGGUGCGUAGGCGGCGCGGCAAGUCGGGUGUGAAAUCUUGGAGCUUAACUCCGAAACUGCAUUCGAUACUGCCGUGCUUGAGGACUGGAGAGGAGACUGGAAUUUACGGUGUAGCGGUGAAAUGCGUAGAUAUCGUAAGGAAGACCAGUGGCGAAGGCGGGUCUCUGGACAGUUCCUGACGCUGAGGCACGAAGGUCAGGGGAGCAAACGGG
rnacentral:rRNA from 1 species